CCGUCGCUAGCUCAGUUGGACAGAGCAAAUAACUCAGAAGAAGUUGUAGGUGCGAGGUUCGAGGCCUCGGUGACGGUCCA
rnacentral:tRNA from 2 species